CAGCUCUUGCAGCAAUAGUGGAGGAUGAAGGCGGGCCCACGGCUGUCACGAAGGUAAAGUCCACUAUCCUCAGGACCAGGUUAUAAACACCAAAAAGCAAAACAUCCUACCUAAUCCAUGGAGGAACUGCUGAGGCCAGACCAGGAAUUAAAUCAUCUUGAUCCCAACAUUGCAGAAACUGAACAAGACGCCCUGCAGACCUUGCAAGCCAGCGUUGGCUAGCCAGCAGCAUCAGAUUAGAAAACCAGAUUACCUUAGCAUAGAUUCAAAAGCUUGUUCCCCAUCAAGAAGAGGUUGGACUCUGGCCAUGGAGGGCAGAGAGGACCAUUACUCUCCAAAGAAGUAAUUCCUGUUGAUCACAGUUUCUAUUACAGGAUGGUGGAUGAGGAGCCCAUCAACCUGCUCUCCUGUGGGACGCGGUGGCCUGCAGCAGUGGUCAGUGUCCGGUUUCUGGGCCAUCUCCCGGCACCAAUGACCCCAAGCAGCCACGGUCAUUUGCUUCUGCACUGUCAGAUGAUAUCUUGCCAUCCCUGGCAAGACCUGCCUGCUCAUACUUGCUGUUUUCAAGAGAAACAGAUUAUAGUCCAAGAGGUUAAUCACAGGCAACAGUGACUUCUUUACCUUGAUAUAUGCUAUCUUUAGCUUUAUACAUUUAUAACAGUGAAGGCAUCAAGUAGAGUUCAGAAAAACAGUCUGUAUUAAUUGCAAUAGAAAAACUAUCCAUGGAAAAUAUUUCUACAGAUUUAAUUAUCGUUGUACUGAGAUGCUUAUGAAAACACUUUCAAACCAUCACCGAAAUACUUGGCACCUAUUUUUUAUCAAUAGUAUCUAGUUUCCUGUAAAUAAAAAAUAUCCUAGAAAUUAAGUAAUAAAAAUUUUCUGGAACCUUUAGUAAAAAAUAUCAUGAAUAUUGCUGAAUGUUUUGUCAGUGAAAGCUUAACUCUUCCUGGGAAGCUACUGAGUGUGUAAAAAAAAAGGUAGAAAUUGGAAGCAGCUGAAUUUGCUGGCGAGGUGUCUCAGGGUUACCUGAUGCAAAUCCUGCACAGGUAAAGAUGUCAUUUAAAAAUAACGGCUCCUGACGCAGCUCAGCAACCACGGGUGCCGCUCCUCCACAGCGUGGGCAGCGCACGUAGGUGGGUUUCUGCUCCCCUACACCUGCCCUGCCACCACACCAGGCGAGCGUGGAGAAAGCAUUAAUAAAAUAUUAGGUGAAAUAACCGUACCUGACUAAUGCUGCGUAUUAAGGAAAGGCAAUAAGCAGUGCUUGGGGUCUUCUUUCCUCUGACUAAACCUGAGAUUUUCUAGUUCAUGCAUGAGGUUGCAGUGGAAGGUUGAACAGAUAAUUACCUUUCUCUAUUUCCUUCUCUUCCUCUGCAUUAUAAGCAUAUUUAAAGGGCACUUAGAAAAAGCAGUCACAGCCUAAAUUAAAAUGUAAUAUGAAAAGAAAAUGUUUGGUAGUCUGUAUGGGAAGGUGUUGUGGCAGGUAUUACACACCAAACAAAACAUGGCCUUUUCCUCUGCUGAGGUUUGCCCCUGGUCUUCUGCGCUUGCUUGUUCUUAUAGUUUCAUAGCUUAUCUCUGUUGCUGAGUCAGGAGUGGUGCGGUAGGCACAGUGGGGUUAUUGCACAUGAGGCAGGAGAGCUGCCAUCUUCCCAGCCAUGUGCAGGAGGACACAGCCCACCACUGGUGAUCCAGUGCCUCCCCCGUGCCCCGGGCUCGGGGCUGAGCCCCCCAGCCCCACCGAGCAGCCUGUGCCUUUCCUCCAGCAUCUGCUUCAGAGCAUCUCCCUGGCAGGAGGAAAAUGUCUGAUCUUUUCUACCUCAGCUCAGAAUUUCUCAAUCUUAGUGGAUGUUAAAAUACCACAAGACAGCCUACAGAACAGCUGAAGAAAAGAAAAUACAAAACUGCAUGAAACAUCCCACACAGGCACGGAGAAAAGGGCAAUGUGGAAGCAACCGCAAGCCCUUGAGACCAGCACCGCUUUGAUUUGGUUAUAAAUGAAACCUAUUUAUCGUUGCAACAUUAGAAACAACAAACUAAAUGCAAACCAUGAAAGAUGGGAGAAGCUAAAUUGGUAGGUGGAAGCUGGAAAACUGCCAUGUAAAUAAACACGUGCUAUCUCCCCAAGAGGGGCCAAAGCCAGCAUAAACCACCCCAACUAGUGUGAAACUGGCUUUAAUAAUUAAGCCUGCAAAAAGUGAAGAUUAAAAAUUUAUUUUGAACUAAAUGAAGCUAUUAGCAGAACAGUUUUCCCCCAUUAUACAUUUAUGAUAUAUAAUACACUAAAACAGAUACCUUUUGUGAACACUAAAACUCAUUGCUCAGCCUCCAUGAGCACCUCAGAGCUGUGCUGUCUCACACCUUUGCUGCUUGCUGCCUGGACUCUCACUUUAACGCUGGAGGAGCCGUGAAAACACUUCAUUUUAAGUCUUUAAAGUAUACCAACCUCACAUUUAAAAAUGAAAACAACUUUGACUCCCUAACUGCAACAUUGUGAGAAAAUGUUAGAAGGGGAGGUUUCAGGGAUUUAAUUUUUUUUGGCCCUUUUUAAAUAGAACUUCCAAAGCACAAAAUUCCUUGAAAGCAUCUGUUAUAUAAUAUUCCAUCAUAAAUUAUGGAAUAUUUAGCACAACCGGGGGGUUAUGGCAAAAAAAAAAAAAAAAAGCAGUAAAAACCUGUCAGUUACUCCUUUUAAAUGAAUCCAUAAAGGACUGGGCAUCUGUAUGGCUGAGGAGACAAUACUGAGUUAUAGUAAAAAGUAAAUAAAAGAGGAAAACAGAAUUGUUCAUGUUCUAAUAAAUCCAGGUGCCCUGUGAUGCGCUCAAUUAGUGUUAACAAGACUCUGCUGGCCAACAAGGGCUGUGUCGGAGCUGGGGAGCUCCAAUCCUCCUGUGCAACCCAGGGCUUGGCUUCUUCACCCCUGGGAGAGCCUGAUGCCCCUCUUAGCAGGGUGGUUGUCUUUGCACACCAGGUCAUGGCCAACCGUGCCCUGGGGGGCAUCACACCCUGCAUCGCAGCUGGGCGAGGGAGGGGAUUGUCCCGCUCUGCUCCGUGCUGGGACAGCCUCACCUCGAGUGCUGGGGGCAGGUUUGGGCACCACAGGACAUUAAGGAUAUA